GGUGUUGUGGCGGAGUGGUUAACGCGAUUGACUAGAACUUGAACGUUCGAUCAAUUUCCUUCGGGAGCACAUGUUCGAAUCAUGUCAACAUCG
rnacentral:tRNA from 2 species